CAGUCGAACGGACUCAUAUUGAAACCUAGUGAUUUAUGAGUUAGUGGCGGACGGGUGAGUAACGCGUGGAUAACCUGCCGUACACCGGGGGAUAACACUUAGAAAUAGGUGUUAAUACCGCAUAAGCGCACGGCUCCGCAUGGGGCAGUGUGAAAAACUCCGGUGGUAUACGAUGGAUCCGCGUCUGAUUAGCUAGUUGGCGGGGUAACGGCCCACCAAGGCAGCGAUCAGUAGCCGGCCUGAGAGGGUGGACGGCCACAUUGGGACUGAGACACGGCCCAAACUCCUACGGGAGGCAGCAGUGGGGAAUAUUGCACAAUGGGGGAAACCCUGAUGCAGCGACGCCGCGUGAGUGAAGAAGUAUCUCGGUACGUAAAGCUCUAUCAGCAGGGAAGAAAAUGACGGUACCUGACUAAGAAGCCCCGGCUAACUACGUGCCAGCAGCCGCGGUAAUACGUAGGGGGCAAGCGUUAUCCGGAUUUACUGGGUGUAAAGGGAGCGUAGACGGCAGCACAAGUCUGGAGUGAAAUCCCGGGGCUUAACCCCGGAACUGCUUUGGAAACUGUGCGGCUGGAGUGCAGGAGGGGUAAGCGGAAUUCCUAGUGUAGCGGUGAAAUGCGUAGAUAUUAGGAGGAACACCGGUGGCGAAGGCGGCUUACUGGACUGUAACUGACGUUGAGGCUCGAAAGCGUGGGGAGCAAACAGGAUUAGAUACCCUGGUAGUCCACGCCGUAAACGAUGAUUACUAGGUGUCGGGGGACCAAGGUCCUCCGGUGCCGGCGCAAACGCAUUAAGUAAUCCACCUGGGGAGUACGUUCGCA
rnacentral:rRNA from 1 species